rnacentral:piRNA from 1 species
AGAAAAGAGACAAAGCCAACGGUGUGG